UACGAAGGGGGCUAGCGUUGCUCGGAAUUACUGGGCGUAAAGGGCUCGUAGGCGGCCAACUAAGUCAGACGUGAAAUCCCUAGGCUCAACCUAGGAACUGCGUCUGAUACUGGAUGGCUUGAGUCCGGGAGAGGGAUGCAGAAUUCCAGGUGUAGCGGUGAAAUGCGUAGAUAUCAGGAGGAACACCGGUGGUGUAGACGGCUCUCUGGACCGUAACUGACGCUGAGGCACGAAAGCGUGGGUAGCAAACAGG
rnacentral:rRNA from 1 species